rnacentral:tmRNA from 1 species
GGGGGUGAAAGGUAUCGACUUAGGCCUAGGGAUAUUGGUGGCAUGUCGAGGUGGCAAGGAGGCCUCGUAAAACACCUUGCACAAUACAAAUGCUGACAAAGUACAAAAGCCAGCAGACACAUUGACAUUCAAUAAGCUAAUGGCCUCUAUGCAGGUUGUUAGCCCUGUAAUGCCAAUGGUCCCAGUGUUACGCUAAUAUAGCGUAACCCGUUUUCCGGUUUUUGCCUGCGGGGCCGGCAAGACGUUAUCAGCAGGAUAGUUCCGGCUAGUUUGCCUUUGCGGCCGGAGCAAAAUUCUCAAAGGCUGGCCUUUGGUUAAUUUUGUUUACCGAAGUAACCUUUGGCGAGAUUUAAAAAGGUAAGCUAAACAUGUAGAGGCUAAUAUCGCGAAGUUUAAGGACGCGGGUUCGACUCCCGCCACCUCCACCA